CCGUGGCUGCGAGCGGCGCUCUCGGAGGACGACUAGGCGCGCGAACUGCGGGUGUUGCUGCCGUGGGGCCGUCGACUACGGCCUCUGCUGUGGGCGCCGGCGCUGGCGACCGCCCGGGAAGGAAAACCAAUUCUGUGUCCACGGAGGACCACAGCCCAGUUCUGUCCCAGACGAAACACGGCCUGGAGUUUCCAGGCAGGACAGCCAUUCAGCACGCAGACCAACGAGGACAAGGAGGAACCCCUGCACUUGAUCUUCAGCAGCACAGAGCGCGUGCAGGGUUCUACUUCCAAACAUGAGUUCCAGGUCGAGACAGAAGCUUUUGGACAUCGUUGCCCGGUCAUUGCACUCAGAAAAAGAGGUGUUUAUAUGGGAGCUGGUCUCCAGUGCCAGCCAUGACUUGGAAAAACUGCGUCACAAACUGGUGUCUGAUGGCCAGGCACUGCCAGAAAUGGAGAUUUACUUGCAGACGGAUGCCGAGAAAGGCACCAUCACCGUCCAGGAUACUGGCAUCGGGAUGACACAGGAAGAGCUGGUGUCCAACUUGGGGACGAUCGCCAGCAGCAAGAUCAUUGGCCAGUUUGGAGUGGGUUUCUACUCGACCUUCAUGGGGGCUGGCAGAGUGGAGGUCUAUUCCCGCUCGGCAUCCCCGGGGAGCCCAGGUUACCAGUGGCUUUCAGACGGCUCCAGAGUGUGUGAAAUUGCGGAAGCUUCGGGAGUUAGAACUGGGACGAAAAUCAUCAUCCACCUGAAAUCCGACUGCAGGGAGUUUGCCAGUGAGGCCCAGGUGCGAGAUGUGGUGACGAAGUACAGCAACUUCGUCAGCUUCCCCUUGUACCUGAAUGGAAGGCGGAUGAACACCUUGCAGGCCAUCUGGAUGAUGGACCCCAAGGACAUCGGCGAGUGGCAGCAUGAAGAGUUCUACGGUUACAUUGCGCAGGCCUAUGAGAAGCCCUGCUACACCCUGCACUAUAAGAUGGUUGCGCCGCUCAACAGCCGCAGCAUCUUCAACGUGCCGGACACGAAACCGUCCGCGUUUGACGUGAGCCAGGAGUUGGGCUCCGGCGUCGCACUGUACAGCCUCAAAGUCCUUAUCCAGACCAAGGCCACAGACAUUCUGCCCAAGUGGCUGUGCUUCAUCCGAGGUGUGGUGGACAGUGAGGACAUUCCCCUGAGCCUCAGCUGGGAGCUGCUGCAGGAGAGUGCACUCAUUAGAAAACUCCGGGAUGUUUUACAGCAGAGGCUGAUCAAAUUUCUCGUUGACCAGAGUAAAAAAGACGCUGAGAAAUAUGCAAAGUUUUUUGAAGUUACGGCCUGUUCAUGCGGGAGGGCAUUGUGACCACGGCCGAGCAGGAGGUCAAGGAGGACAUAGCAAAGCUGCUGUGCUACUAGUCCUCCGCGCUGCCGGCUGGGCAGCUAACCAGCCUCUUGGAAUAUGCCAACAGCAUGCGGGCUGGCACCCGCAACAUCUAUUACUUGUGUGCCUCCAACCGGCACCUGGCAGAGCACUCGGCCUACUACAAGGCCAUAAAGCAGAAAGACACAGAGGUUCUCUUCUGCUAUGAGCAGUGAUGAGCUCACCCUGCUGCACCUUCGUGAGUUUGACAAGAAGAAGCUGAUCUCCGUGGAGACAGACAUCAUUGUGGAUCACUACAAGGAGUGGAAGUUUAAGGACGGGUCCCCAGCUACUGAGCGCCUGUCAGAGAAGGAGACGGAAGACCUCAUGGCCUGAAUGAGAAACGUGCUGGGGUCGCGUGUCACCAACGUGAAGGUGACCCUCUGACUGGACACCCACCCCACCAUGGACACCGUGCUGGAGAUGGGGCCGCCCGUCACUUCUGCACAUGUAGCAGCUGGCCAAGACCCAGGCGGAGCGAGCACAGCUCCUGCAGCCGGUGCUGGAGGUCAACCCCAGGAAUGCACUCAUGAAGCUGAAUCAGCUGCAGGUGAGCGAGCCUGGCCUGGCCCAGGCUGGUGGAUCAGAUAUACGAGAAUGCAGUGAUAGCCGCUGGGCUCGUUGAUGACCCCAGGGCCGUGGUGGGCUGCCUGAAUGAGCUGCUUGUCCAGGCCCUGGAGCCACACUGACAACCAGAGGCCUCUGCCUGGGCAGGGGAAGAAGGAUUGACACCAUAGAUGACAGCCCCACCUCCUUGAGCUUUAUUUACCUAAAUUAAAAGGUAUUUCUUAAAAAAAAAAAAAAAA